ensembl:snRNA U6 U6 spliceosomal RNA
GUGCUCCCUUCAACAGCACAUAUACUAAAAUUGGAAUGAUAACAGAGAACACUAGCAUCGCUCCUGCGCAAGACAUCUCUUCUAGUAGCAGAGAGAAAUACGGAGACAAU